AAUCAUCUGGCUGGUGAAUGGGUCAAAUGAAACGAUGACUCGACAGCUCUCUCUCUCUCUAACUUGGCUGGAGUGGCAAAAAGCUUUGAUCGGACCUUCUCAGCUCACCGAAACUACUAUUACUACUGGUAGGAGGAAAACAAUGGCGAGAAAGAGCGGAACCAAAACGACACUGUUUUUCCUACUCAUCUCUCUCAUUUCUUUUCUCGCUUUCGUUCCCGUCUUCGCUCCUCUCCCUUCUUUCUCCUCCCACUACUCUCUCAAUCCUCGCCGCCACCACCAUCACCACCACCGAAAGGUAGUGACCAGCACGGUUGCGGUUAAGCCUCGAUCAUUCGAGAUCGACGACGACAAGUUCUGGAAAGACGGCGAGUUUUUCAGGAUCAUCGGCGGCGACUUGCAUUACUUUCGCGUUCUUCCUCAGUACUGGGAAGAUAGGUUGGUGAGAGCAAAGGCCCUGGGAUUGAAUACUAUUCAAACUUAUGUGCCUUGGAAUCUUCAUGAGCCACAGCCUGGUAAACUAGUGUUUGAGGGCAUUGCUGAUCUUGUCUCUUUUCUCAAACUCUGCCACAAGCUUGAUAUACUUGUCAUGCUCCGACCCGGCCCAUAUAUAUGUGGAGAGUGGGAUUUGGGGGGAUUUCCAGCUUGGUUACUAGCCAUCGAACCGCCUCUCAAACUGAGAUCGUCUGAUCCUGCUUACCUUCGAAUGGUUGAUAACUGGUGGGGAAUCUUACUUCCCAAGGUAGCUCCGUUUCUCUAUAAUAAUGGAGGCCCAAUCAUAAUGGUUCAGAUUGAGAAUGAGUUCGGUUCAUAUGGAGAUGACAAAGCUUAUCUUCAUCACUUGGUCGAAUUGGCCCGAGGACAUCUUGGUGAUGGUAUCAUUUUGUAUACCACAGAUGGAGGUUCUAGGGAAAAUCUUGAGAAAGGAACCAUUCAAGGAGAUGCUGUCUUUUCAACUGUAGACUUCACUACUGGUGAUGAUCCUUGGCCUAUAUUUAAGUUACAAAAGGAGUUCAAUGCCCCUGGAAAAUCACCACCGCUUUCUUCGGAGUUUUAUACAGGUUGGCUGACACAUUGGGGUGAGAAGAAUGCAAAGACUGGUGCUGAUUUUACUGCUUCAGCCCUGGAAAAGAUAUUGUCACAGAAUGGUUCUGCUGUGCUUUAUAUGGUGCAUGGUGGAACAAACUUUGGAUUCUACAAUGGAGCAAAUACUGGUGUAGAUGAGUCUGAUUACAAGCCAGACAUCACUUCAUAUGAUUAUGAUGCACCAAUCAGCGAAUCUGGAGAUGUGGAGAACGCAAAAUUCAAUGCACUGCGCAGGGUUAUCGAACUUCAUACUGCAGCAUCUCUUCCAUCUGUUCCUUCUGAUAAUGGAAAGAUGGGAUAUGGACCUAUUCAGUUACAGAAAACAGCAUUCUUGUUUGAUUUACUUGACAAUAUUAAUCCAGCUGAUGUAGUUGAAUCUGAAAAUCCACUCUCAAUGGAGUCUGUGGGACAGAUGUUUGGAUUUCUAUUAUAUGUUUCUGAGUACACUCCAAAGGAUGAUAAAAGCGUUCUUCUCAUACCAGAGGUUCAUGAUAGAGCUCAAGUGUUUACUUUAUGCCAUUCGGAGGACAAUAGCAGAAGACCAACGCAUGUUGGUUCAAUUGAUAGGUUGUCGAGUAAAAAACUUGGCCUUCCUAAUGCCAAAUGUGCUUCGAACAUCAGCUUAUUUGUUUUGGUUGAAAAUCAGGGUCAUGUGAAUUAUGGACCAUACAUAUUUGACAAGAAGGGAAUUUUGUCUUCUGUUUUUCUGGAUGGGAGUAUUUUGCAUGGAUGGAAAAUGAUUCCCAUCCCUUUCCACAACCUGAACGAGGUUCCAAAAAUCAAUCUCAUCAUUGAAGUUGCACAUUCAAGAUUCAUUACAGUAUCAACUCAGAGAGAAUUAAAAGAUAAAUCUGUUUGCUUUUAUUUUCAGGGAAUGUUUCUGAAGUACCAGCAUUCUUCACUGGCCAUUUCUUUAUUGAGAAUACGAGCCAGAUUCAUGAUACUUUCAUAUCAUUCAGUGGUUGGGGUAAAGGGAUUGCAGUUGUUAAUGAUUUUAACAUAGGAAGAUAUUGGCCGUCAUUUGGUCCGCAAUGCAAUCUUUAUGUCCCUGCUCCGAUCCUUCAGCAUGGAGAAAAUGUUCUGGUCAUACUGGAGUUAGAAUCUCCCAACCCUGAGCUUGUCAUGCAUUCAGUUGAUCACCCAGACUUCACAUGUGGUUCAAGCAAAUCAAGCGUGCAUCAGCUUUAGUUACACCUUAUACAUUUGCUACAUCAGGGAGAUUAGUUGACUCGCAAUGCUGAGACUCUAAAGAUCAAGAGCACACAUGAUGCAUUUUGCAUUUGGCACAAGGAUGGCAGACUGAUUAGCAAAACGUUGCCCCGCUUGAGCAGAAGUGAACUUUGAAGAAUUGAUGCGCAUAUCAACGAGAAUCCCAGAGAUGUUCUGUUUAAACAGCAUCAUUUACACUGGAUUAAGUUGAAAAAACUAACAUUAUUGCCUUGUCAUUGACACUUGAACGUAUUUAUUAUAAGGCUUGGGUCUUCUUGAAAA